AUACGUAGGUGGCAAGCGUUAUCCGGAUUUACUGGGUGUAAAGGGCGUGUAGGCGGGACAGCAAGUCAGAUGUGAAAAUUAUGGGCUCAACCCAUAACCUGCAUUUGAAACUGUGGUUCUUGAGUGACGGAGAGGCAGGCGGAAUUCCGUGUGUAGCGGUGAAAUGCGUAGAUAUGCGGAGGAACACCAGUGGCGAAGGCGGCCUGCUGGACAUUAACUGACGCUGAGGCGCGAAAGCGUGGGGAGC
rnacentral:rRNA from 1 species